rnacentral:rRNA from 1 species
GGGGGGGGGGGGGGGGGGGGGGCGGGCGGGCGGGGGGCGGGGGGGGGUGAGGAGGUUGCGCGUCGGCCGUUGGCGGGGGACGGGUUGGUAACACGGGGAUAACCUACCUAUAAGACUUGGAGAACUUCAGGAAACCGCAGCUAGUACCGCCUAAGUGAUUGAACCGCAGGGUUCACUAGCGAAAUCCGUUUUUGCUGUCACUUAUCGACGUAUCCGCGCCACAUUAGCUAGUUGGUAAGGUAACUGCUUACCAAGGCAACGAUGCGUAGACUACCUGAGAGGGUGAUCGGCCACACUGGAACUGAGACACGGUCCAGACGCCUACGGGAGGCAGCAGUAGGGAAUCUUCCGCAAUGGGCGAAAGCCUGACGGGGCAACGCCGCGUGAGUGAUGAAGGUCUUCGGAUCGUAAAACUCUGUUAUUAGGGAAGAACAAAUGUGUAAGUAACUAUGCACGUCUUGACGGUACCUAAUCAGAAAGCCACGGCUAACUACGUG